CUGGGCUGAAACCUGGUGUUUUAACUAAGACAAACAUGGAGACAAUGCCCCUGCAAACAUCAGAUUUCUACAUCGUCUAGCUCAUCCAUAACGUUUUAUUUCUUUUAUGUCUUGCCCAGGUCACACUGUGCCACAACAGCAGCACCGAGGAAACAGCUCUCGUGGGAUCAAGGGGAGCAUCAUGAACUGACGUGCAGUUCCUCCUGGGCAUGAACACAUCAGGGACAUACAGGCUUCAGGUACUGUAGUAAUGAGAGGAGUAGCCCAGUGUACUAGGAAGUGAACGCUGCGCUGCCAGCUGAUAGAGCCACCUGCCAGGAGAGUGCUGCAGGACUUCGUCCCCAUACUGACUCACCUAAGGGCUCCUGUUCUAUUGAUUCGCCCAUGUGACUUGUGGGAACGACGCAUCCGCUGCAAUCUGGACCAGAGAAUGAAGGAUUCUAUCCUGUUGGUGAAGUAAACUAUUCCAAGUCUGUGAGGAACCAGAACCUCCGGGCAGACCUGCGACAUGCCAGCGGGAUUAUACAUUCCCUCUGGUCUGGGUUCGCCUCAGGAAGAGCUGGAGGUGGCGUCAUGGGGGCAGGGCGUCUGGGAGUUUGCUUAACCGGGACCCACAUGUGAGUCAGACGUUGCUUUUGCUAUUUGCUAUUUGCUAUUAUAGACUUUUUGAUUAUCUAUAGACCACUGCUUACAGUAGCUGCUUUGCUGCAUCAAGUAUAUCGAACUCCAUAUGGCUGCG
rnacentral:lncRNA from 1 species